GCCGACUUAGCUCAGCAGGCAGAGCAACUGACUUGUAAUCAGUAGGUCACGAGUUCGAUUCCGGUAGUCGGCACCA
rnacentral:tRNA from 1 species